GCCCUUACUGCUCAGUAACACGUAGUCAACCUAACUCGUGGACGUGGAUAACCUCGGGAAACUGAGAAUAAACCACGAUAGAUCAUAGUGCCUGGAAUGGCUUAUGGUCCAAACAGUUUACUGCCAUGGGAUGGGACUGCGGCCUAUCAGCUUGUUGGUGAGGUAAUGGCCCACCAAGGCGAUUACAGGUACGGGCUCUGAGAGGAGAAGCCCGGAGAUGGGUACUGAGACACGGACCCAGGCCCUAUGGGGCGCAGCAGGCGAGAAACCUUAGCAAUGUGCGAAAGCACGACUGGGUCAGUCCGAGUGAUUCCUGAUAAAGGAGUCUUUUGCUUGUCCUAAAAGCACAGGUGAAUAAGGGGUGGGCAAGUCUGGUGUCAGCCGCCGCGGUAAUACCAGCACCUCGAGUGGUCAGGACGUUUAUUGGGCCUAAAGCAUCCGUAGCCGGCUUUGCAAGUCUUCGGUUAAAUCCACCUGCUUAACAGAUGGGCCGCUGGAGAUACUACAGAGCUAGGGAGUGGGAGAGGCAGACGGUAUUCAGUGGGUAGGGGUAAAAUCCUCUGAUCCAUUGAGGACCACCAGUGGCGAAGGCGGUCUGCCAGAACACGUUCGACGGUGAGGGAUGAAAGCUGGGGGAGCAAACCGGAUUAGAUACCCGGGUAGUCCCAGCUGUAAACGAUGCAAACUCGGUGAUGCAUUGGCUUAUGGCCAAUGCAGUGCCGCAGGGAAGCCGUUAAGUUUGCCGCCUGGGAAGUACGGACGCAAGUCUGAAACUUAAAGGAAUUGGCGG
rnacentral:rRNA from 1 species